rnacentral:rRNA from 1 species
AUUGAACGCUGGCGGCGUGCCUAACACAUGCAAGUCGAGCGGUAACAGGUGUAGCAAUACAUGCUGACGAGCGGCGGACGGGUGAGUAACGCUUGGGAAUCUGCCUGUUAGUGGGGGGACAACCCGGGGGAAACUCGGGCUAAUACCGCAUACGCACUACGGUGGAAAGCCGGGGACCGCAAGGCCUGGCGCUAACAGAUGAGCCCAAGUCGGAUUAGCUAGUUGGUAGGGUAACGGCCACCAAGGCGACGAUCCGUAACUGGUCUGAGAGGACGACCAGUCACACCGGAACUGAGACACGGUCCGGACUCCUACGGGAGGCAGCAGUGGGGAAUAUUGGACAAUGGGCGAAAGCCUGAUCCAGCGACGCCGCGUGGGUGAAGAAGGCCUGCGGGUUGUAAGACCCUUUUCGGUGGGGGAAGAAAGCCUCGAGUUAAUACCUCGGGGUCUUGACGUAACCCAUAGAAGAAGCACCGGCUAACUCUGUGCCAGCAGCCGCGGU